rnacentral:rRNA from 1 species
UACGUAGGGGGCAAGCGUUGUCCGGAAUCAUUGGGCGUAAAGAGCGUGUAGGCGGCCCGAUAAGUCCGCUGUGAAAGUCCAGGGCUCAACCCUGGAAUGCCGGUGGAUACUGUCGGGCUAGAGUACGGAAGAGGCAAGUGGAAUUCCUGGUGUAGCGGUGGAAUGCGCAGAUAUCAGGAGGAACACCUAUAGCGAAGGCAGCUUGCUGGGACGUUACUGACGCUAAGGCGCGAAAGCGUGGGGAGCGAACAGG